AAAAAAAAAAAGGAAUAUAUGGUCAUCACCAAAAACAACAAAAAACACUGGCUUUCUUCCACGCACCGCCUAAACAUUUCCCCACUUUUGCCAUCUUGCUUCCUUCCUUCCUUCCUUCUUCCAGGCAAUAAUACUUCCACAGUAGUUAAGGAUCGGUUUCCCUACAAUCCCAAUACGAAUUCAAGAGUUCAAUCCCAAUUCACUCAAAUCGAAUUUCCCAAAUCCAAAAUUAUAGAGUUCCCUUCAAUCCAAAUCGCAGAUUUUUUCGUGUUUUAGCUCGUCUCCGGCGAACGUUUCUCGGCGGCGGCUUAUUAUCUGGCAAUAGUACUUCUCGGAAGCGUGUGGUUGAAUUAUCAAUUGUGAGUUUCUUCUAAAUUAGAAUUCAAUUGAGUUUUUUAAGAUUUCGUUCGUAAUGUGUGGUUAACGCAAUAUUGUCAGAAAUUCUGAUUCAGAUAUGUGGUUAGGUUUCUUGAUGUCUCACCGAUUGCAUUUCCGUCUUUCCUGGUGCAAAAUGGUUCAAAUUCGUUCACGUUUGAUUACCUUUUCAAAAAUGGGGGAAUACCAUGUUCUCGGAUUUCGGACGAAUCUUUUGCCCUGACCCUUUGGUUGAUGCUUUGUGCAAGGGAUACAAUGGUACAAUCCUCGGUUAUGGACAGGGAGGAAAGGGUCGGAGAAGAUUGGAAAGGUAGAAUUACUGGACUGGAACCCAUGAACUUCAUAACUGUUGCAACUCUGCAUCUGGGUUCAUAGAGGUCAUAGACAGGUCUUAACAGAUACAUCCAAAUGAAAUUUAUCAAGGGAUUUAGUGCAGAUGCAAAGAACAAGUACGAAGAGGCAAGCCAAGUUGCUAAUGAUGCAGUUGCUUCUUUUUGUGCCGAGGAGAAAGUAAUGCAGUUGUAUGAAAAGAAAUGUGAGGCUCAUGUAGAAGCUGGUAUAAAGCAAGGACUAAUUAGUGGGGCAGGUUUCGGAGUGUCAUUUGCUUUGCUAUUUUUUGUCUAUGCCAUCAGUUUCUAUGCAAAAGCUCAACUCGCAAGGAAUGGAAAAACUACCUUUACCAAGGAAAAAGAAAUUGGAGACUCAAGUGAAGCAGACUAGCAGAGUAUGAGAAGGCUAACAACAGAAAUGAUGAUGAUGAAGAUGAAGAUGAAGAUGAAGAGGAUGCCACAAGAAUCUGCACUCCUGUUCGCUUGAUAAAGCGCCUAUAACUGACUAACUAGAGAAUCAGAUGACCAUGGAGCUAUUGGGUGAUCUUUGUUUUAUCUGGCGGAUGCUUAUCUUCAUUGAGUGAGUGUGCAGACGCAGCUUCUAGUUGAGCUAAACUCCCAUUUCUGGCACUAGAACUAAGUCUUUGUAAAGUAUAGAUGUAUAAUAUAUGUCGGUUUUGUUUGCAGAGCACCUUUUCGUUUUUGAACUGAACAAGGAUUAUUGAAGAAAAUUAAAAUGAGCACCAAGUGGAUACAGAUACAAUGUCCUCGGCAAAAGAAUGUCAUGGAUUCUAGAUAUUAUGUCAUGAGAUACAUGAAAGAGAUCAUCGACCAUAAGCAAACUCGAAUAUUUGAAGAUUACUUUCAUGAUUGCAAUGUUCCGAAUUAUGAUAAAGGACAAAUUGAUGAAGUCAGAGCUCAAUGGACGCGUCAUGUUCUUCUCGUGUGAAUAUUGUGAUGUAUUAGUUAUGUUUUUCGACUAGAAUUUCUCUAGAACGUUUUAAUUUAAUUUUAUUGGUUUGAAAUUAGAAGAAGUACUGUAUGACAAGGAUACUUCUUUCUGUUUUCUAGUGUGUUUUUAUUCUACUGUGUAUUUAGGCAUAUAUGAUUUUAAGUUAUGUAUGAGACAUCGAGACGUUUAUUUGAUAUGAUAGAAAUGAAGUUGGAUUGUAUAUA